rnacentral:rRNA from 1 species
AGGGAAUCUUCGGCAAUGGACGGAAGUCUGACCGAGCAACGCCGCGUGAGUGAAGAAGGUUUUCGGAUCGUAAAGCUCUGUUGUAAGAGAAGAACGAGUGUGAGAGUGGAAAGUUCACACUGCGACGGUAUCUUACCAGAAAGGGACGGCUAACUACGUGCCAGCAGCCGCGGUAAUACGUAGGUCCCGAGCGUUGUCCGGAUUUAUUGGGCGUAAAGCGAGCGCAGGCGGUUAGAUAAGCCUGAAGUUAAAGGCUGUGGCUUAACCAUAGUACGCUUUGGAAACUGUUUAACUUGAGUGCAAGAGGGGAGAGUGGAAUUCCAUGUGUAGCGGUGAAAUGCGUAGAUAUAUGGAGGAACACCGGUGGCGAAAGCGGCUCUCUGGCUUGUAACUGACGCUGAGGCUCGAAAGCGUGGGGAGCAAACAGGAUUAGAUACCCUGGUAGUCCACGCCGUAAACGAUGAGUGCUAGGUGUUAGACCCUUUCCGGGGUUUAGUGCCGUAGCUAACGCAUUAAGCACUCCGCCUGGGGAGUACGACCGCAAGGUUG